UAACCUACUCUGGCUUCCAAAGCAUCAGAA
rnacentral:piRNA from 1 species